rnacentral:rRNA from 1 species
UAGGGAAUAUUGGGCAAUGGUCGAGAGACUGACCCAGCCAUGCCGCGUGCAGGAUGAAGGCUUUCUGAGUCGUAAACUGCUUUUACCAGGGAAGAAAAAAGGGGAUGCGUCCCCUACUGACGGUACCUGGUGAAUAAGCACCGGCUAACUCCGUGCCAGCAGCCGCGGUAAUACGGAGGGUGCAAGCGUUGUCCGGAUUUAUUGGGUUUAAAGGGUGCGUAGGCGGCUUAUUAAGUCUGGGGUGAAAGCCCGUUGCUCAACAACGGAACUGCCCCGGAAACUGGUUGGCUUGAGUACAGACGAGGGUGGCGGAAUGGACGGUGUAGCGGUGAAAUGCAUAGAUACCGUCCAGAACCCCGAUUGCGAAGGCAGCUGCCUAGACUGUGACUGACGCUGAGGCACGAAAGCGUGGGGAGCGAACA